CCUUCAAUGAUGACUAUUUGUAAAUUCUUGAUAGGAAGAGUAUGAAACAUAAUGAGUACUAAAACAAUAUCUGACGAAAUC
rfam:Drosophila persimilis strain MSH-3 cont1.005377, whole genome shotgun sequence.